UACGUAGGGUGCGAGCGUUGUCCGGAUUUAUUGGGCGUAAAGGGCUCGUAGGCGGCCUGUCGCGUCGGGAGUGAAAGCCCACUGCUUAACGGUGGGUCUGCUUCCGGUACGGGCGGGCUGGAGUAUGGCAGGGGAGACUGGAAUUCCUGGUGUAGCGGUGGAAUGCGCAGAUAUCAGGAGGAACACCGGUGGCGAAGGCGGGUCUCUGGGCCAUUACUGACGCUGAGGCACGAAAGCCAGGGGAGCAAACGGG
rnacentral:rRNA from 1 species